GUCCCGCCUGCCCNGUGACAACUAGUUCAACGGCCGCGGUAUUUUGACCGUGCAAAGGUAGCGUAAUCACUUGUCUUUUAAAUGAAGACCUGUAUGAAUGGCAUAACGAGGGCUUAGCUGUCUCCUCUAUCCAGUCAAUGAAAUUGAUCUCCCCGUGCAGAAGCGGGGGUAAAACCAUAAGACGAGAAGACCCUAUGGAGCUUUAGACACUAAAGCAGAUCACGUUAAACAACUCCCAAUAAAGAACAAAACUGAAUGAAUCCUGCUUAAAUGUCUUCGGUUGGGGCGACCAUGGGGAAAUAAAAAACCCCCACGUGGACUGGGAGCACCUUCCCCCUCUUCCCUCCUCCCAAAACUGAGAGCUACCGCUCUAAUUAACAGAAAUUCUGACCAAAAAUGAUCCGGCAACGCCGAUCAACGGACCAAGUUACCCUAGGGAUAACAGCGCAAUCCCCUUUUAGAGCCCAUAUCGACAAGGGGGUUUACGACCUCGAUGUUGGAUCAGGACAUCCUAAUGGUGCAGCCGCUAUUAAGGGUUCGUUUGUUCAACGAUUAAAGUCCUACGUGAUCUGAGUUCAGACC
rnacentral:rRNA from 1 species